rnacentral:rRNA from 1 species
UACGUAGGGGGCGAGCGUUGUCCGGAAUCAUUGGGCGUAAAGAGCGUGUAGGCGGACUGGAAGGUCUGGUGUGAAAUCCCGGGGCUCAACCCCGGAACUGCCCUUGAAACUGCAGUGCUAGAAUCUUGGAGAGGCGAGUGGAAUUCCGAGUGUAGAGGUGAAAUUCGUAGAUAUUCGGAAGAACACCAGUGGCGAAGGCGACUCGCUGGACAAGUAUUGACGCUGAGGUGCGAAAGCGUGGGGAGCAAACAGG